GACAGAGGGUGCGAACGUUGUUCGGAAUUACUGGGCGUAAAGCGCGUGUAGGCGGGACGGCACGUCGGUCGCUGAAAUCCCCCGGCUUAACCGGGGAACGGGCGUCGAUACGACCGUCCUGGAGGGGCGUAGGGGGACCUGGAACUUCCGGUGGAGCGGUGAAAUGCGUUGAGAUCGGAAGGAACGCCCGUGGCGAAAGCGAGGUCCUGGACGCCUACUGACGCUGAGACGCGAAAGCCAGGGGAGCGAACGGG
rnacentral:rRNA from 1 species